rnacentral:rRNA from 1 species
AUUGAACGCUGGCGGCAGGCUUAACACAUGCAAGUCGAACGAGUGGUGGACGGGUGAGUAAUGCUUGGGAAUCUAGCUUAUGGAGGGGGAUAACUACGGGAAACUGUAGCUAAUACCGCAUACCAUCGGAUGUGCCCAGAUGGGAUUCGCUAGUAGGUGGGGUAACGGCUCACCUAGGCGACGACCCCUAGCUGGUCUGAGAGGAUGACCAGCAACACUGGAACUGAGACACGGUCCAGACUCCUACGGGAGGCAGCAGUGGGGAAUAGUGCACAAUGGGCGCAAGCCUGAUGCAGCCAUGCCGCGUGUAUGAAGAAGGCCUUCGGGUUGUAAAGUACUUUCAGCGAGGAGGCGUUACUCGCAGAAGAAGCACCGGCUAACUCCGUGCCAGCCGCCGGGUAAUAC